CCUCGGCGGCUUCGGAGGACGGAGGCGUCCCCGGGGCCCCGACCUUCUAGACACACAACCCGGCUGAGCCUCUCGCUCUCCACCGGCAUGGAAGCAGCUCAGAUGCACAGAAUUGCCCCAAGCUAUUCAUGGACUUCUACAUUUCCGUAUGAAGUUCCUCAGAGCAGUCCUGCUUUUGAUUGGCAUUACAUUGAAUUUAUAGACUUCUUUUGUUAGAAAUGAGAUCUUUAUAAUGUUUACUUGUGCCAGCUCUGUUUAGGUCUUCUUUCAUGUCCUAUUACAGAGAUUUUUCUUUUUCUUCCAAAAUGUCUGAUAGGUUCUUUUUUAAAGUUGAUUCUUGGCUAUUUUAUGAUUUUUCUGUAUACUUCUUUUGUAAAUGACAUCUUAUUUUCUCUGUAUUUUAUAGUUGAUUAUUGUAUAGAAGAACUCUAUUCAUGUGUGUAUGUUAAUCUUAUGUCUAGCAACAUUGGUGAAUUCUGUUCAUUUCCAACAGUUUAUCUAUUGAUCUGCUGUGUUUCCUGUGUAAAUGGUUAUAUCAUCUACAAAUAAUGACAGUUUAAUCUCUUCCUUUUCAA